rnacentral:rRNA from 1 species
CCCUUCGAUGUUCUGGGCUGCACGCGCGCUACAAUGACAAAUUCAACAAGUUUAUUUAAAUCGCUGUUUUGAAAAAAUUGGCAAAUCUUUUGAAAUUUUGUCGUACUAUGGAUUGUUGAUUGAAAUUAUUCGACAUGAAAAAGGAAUACCUAGUAAAUGUGAUUCAUCAAAUUGCAUUGAUUAUGUCCCUGCCCUUUGUACACACCGCCCGUCGCUACUACCGAUUGAACGGUUUAGUGAGGGCCUCGGAUUGGUCUCGGCCCGCUCUUUACCGGGCGGCGCCGUUGGUCGAGAAGACGCUCGAACUUGAUCGUUUAGAGGAAGUAAAAGUCGUAACA